rnacentral:ncRNA from 1 species
UUAUCGUUUCCGGGUCGCUGACGAAUCAGCGAUCGGGUUUGGUAGCCCGGUUU